rnacentral:rRNA from 1 species
GACGAACCGUGCGAACGUUGUUCGGAAUCACUGGGCUUAAAGGGCGCGUAGGCGGGCUCGCAAGUCAGGGGUGAAAGCCCGCGGCUCAACCGCGGAAGCGCCUUUGAUACUGCGGGCCUCGAGGGGGGUAGGGGCGUGCGGAACUUCCGGUGGAGCGGUGAAAUGCGUAGAUAUCGGAAGGAACACCGGUGGCGAAAGCGGCGCGCUGGACCUCUUCUGACGCUGAGGCGCGAAAGCCAGGGGAGCAAACGGG